rnacentral:rRNA from 1 species
UUAAUAAUUUGUUUUAUAUUUUAGCUUACUGAGGAUAAGCUUGGUAAGAGGUAUAGGAAAAAUAUAUACUUUAAUGAAUUAUCUAGGCUUGAAAUUGGCCAUUGUAACAGAACUUGUUAUAAAAUAAUUCCUUUAAAAAAGAAAAUCUUUAUAUUUUUGUUCUAUAUUUUAAUAGAGGUAAAAGGUUAAACUGACAAGCCCUAUUUAUUUAUGCUAAAAUGAGUAUUUUUAAGCUGGCAUAUAUGGGUAAAUUGUCAAGAAUGCCCGUGAUAAUAUGCAAUUUUUUAAGUAAAAAUGAGAGGAAGGAACUCGGCAAAUUUUAGCUUCGCCUGUUUAUCAAAAACAUGGCUCUUUGUUAUUUUAAUAUGGAGAGUCAAACCUGCCCAGUGAAAUUUUUUAACGGCCGCGGUACCCUGACCGUGCAAAGGUAGCAUAAUCAUUUGCCUUAUAAUUGAAGGCUUGUAUGAAUGGUUGGACGAGAGCGCUGCUGUCUCCCCCUCAAUAAAUAAAACUUGACUUUUAGGUGAAGAGGCCUAAAUAUAAUUGAAAGACAAGAAGACCCUGUCGAGCUUAAAAACUAGAUUAGGUACAGGUAUAGGGUGACCUAAAUUUACUGCUAAUUAUCUUUUUUGGUUGGGGCGACCGAGGAACAACGAAAGCUUCCUUUUUUGCAUUAACUUAUAGGUAUCGAUCCAGCCUAAAGCUGAUUUAAAAAAUUAGUUACCGCAGGGAUAACAGCAUAAUCUCUCUUGAGAGACCAAAUCGAAAGAGGGGGUUGUGACCUCGAUGUUGGACUAGAAUAU